UUUGAACAAGAAAACGUUUAUUACUGCAAAGACAAGUCACAAAUUUUAAGAAAACAACACUAAGAAGCUAGCCUGAGCUGAGAUCUGAAAUAUUCAGAAAACGAAACUACAUGUGUCUUUAAUAGUUUCUAUAAUCAUCAAUACGACACACUAAAUGAUAAUGUCUUUGUAAAUAUAAAAGUCCCCCAAUUGUCCUCGUUUUUUUUCAUGUAAAAUACACAAUACAAAUCACCCUACACACAUUGGUUUGCUUGCCAAUUUGAGAAUAUACAUUAUAUGAAGAAAAGUUAACGGCACACAAAAAGAAAGUCACGUGAAAUUUGUGUGUAUAUAUUAUAUCAGAUACUAUACAUUAUCCAGAAAAGAGGAAAAAAAGGAGAUCACAAAAGCACUUUAGCCAACAUAUCAGAUAAUAAAAUGUUCACCAAAAGAACAAAUCAAAUAAUUAGGACACAAAUAAAUAUACCUUUUUCAGUUUUUGAUAUAUACACAUUUUUUGUUUAGGGUGAAUCAAAAAUAAAAACCUUCCCCAAAUGCCACUGCCAAAUGCUUGUGCUUGCAUUAGAGCGUGCUACAGAUGGCCACGACUCACUAGACUGUCAAAUGGCACUUGAAAAGAAAAAGGAAAAGAAAAAAAAAUACAAAUCUCAAAUAGGUCACAGCAUUCAGAAAAUAUCAUUUGACAAAAGAAAUCACGAUCAUGAGAAAACAACUCAGAGCAUUUUUACUUACAGUAACUCUCCUGGUUCAUUAACCAGUUCUAUACAAUAAAAAGUUGUUUGCAGGUAAUCUACCGUGUGUAAUUUACUCUGUGUGUCUGUGGUGUCACAUCCAGUAAAUAAUAAAUAGUCCAGUCUGAGGACAGGUCUUUCUGCUUCCUCAGCUCUGGUGUCUUCUCAGUGGCAGCACCUGUGCAAUGAAAUGUCUGCUCUGUAGCCUCUAUCUGUAGCCCACCAGAGACCCAAUAGUCGCCCAGGCCAUCUGCUCUGGCCGGGGCGAAAUUAAAGGCACUGGAGUCUGCUAUGGGUCAGUGAAGCUGCCGUGUUAUCCAGGUGAAGAGGCAUUUCUCAGCGUUCGCUCCUAUGACAAGUUAAGGAAUAGCUUAUAUCUCGUUUUUUUUUCAUGGUUGGAAAUGGGCUCAUUUGCAAACAGCUGUUACAAAAAAAACAAUCUUAUCUCUCAAUUUUCAAAAGACACUGAGAAAUAAAGUACAAUUGUGUUGGCAGCAUUAACAUGAGUCCAUGGGGGGGGGGGUAAGAAUUCGAUUGAGAGAAACAAGUUUUCUAGCAGCACAUGGCAGGUGUGCAAAACCAGAAAGCACUUAUGAUCCUAAAGCACACAAUUGAGAUUCAAAGAAAACAUCUUUUAAGCCAUUUUCACGUCAGGCACAAAAUAAUGAAAGGUACCAUCUACAGUGUUGCAGUUCAUAUAUAUGAUGAUUUUAAAAAAAUAACUCAGCAAGAGAAAGGUAAAAAUGCAACAGGCAAGAUAGUGGAUCUCGCAAAAAACCUUCAUUCCUAACAGUACAUCCAGAUUUACAAUGUAUUUUAAAAUUUUACAGACAGAACCCCAUCACUUUUUACAGUUUGAGCUCGCCAAAUUUCAUUUCUCACAGUUGUGUGAACACGGAUUUAAAGGAAGUAGAAGAGGAGAUCUGGGGUUCAUUCAUUUUUUUAAUCGAACUUUUUCAGUUCUUUCUCCCAACUUGCAUUCGACAGUUUAAUUCCAAGAGUCCGGGAGCUUUCUCUCGCUCAAGUUCAUAGUGUUCACAGACUGAUGUGAUGUAAACGAAAUGCCUCAGGCCUCCAACUUGCAGCUGCUUACAGUGCAGUUCAUUGGCCUUUUCUCGCAGACUUCUCAAACUGUCCGUCGAUCAAUAUGGUUAGAAAGUCAGAUUCGUGUGCGCUCAGUUCCUAGAUGAAGUCAGGCAGACAUUUCAAGCCUGCUGGGUUGAAAUGUCUGUCUUUGUAAGGCUAUAGUAUCAGAUGUGUAGCAUAGGUUUAACCAGUGAGGAACGUGGCUUUGGGGGGAUUCGAUUUUUCACAUUCCCCCAAAAG
ensembl:lncRNA